GCAUUGGUGGUUCAGUGGUAGAAUUCUCACCUUUUAUGCCAGAGACCAGGGUUCAGUUCCCAGCCAAUGCA